rnacentral:rRNA from 1 species
CCUACGGGGGACAGCAGUGGGGAAUAUUGGGCAAUGGGCGCAAGCCUGACCCAGCAACGCCGCGUGAAGGAAGAAGGCUCUCGGGUUGUAAACUUCUUUUAUCAGGGACGAAGCAAGUGACGGUACCUGAUGAAUAAGCCACGUCUAACUACGUGCCAGCAGCCGCGGUAAUACGUAGGUGGCAAGCGUUAUCCGGAUUUACUGGGUGUAAAGGGCGUGUAGGAGGGAAAGCAAGUCAGAUGUGAAAACCAUGGGCUCAACCUGUGGCCUGCAUUUGAAACUGUUUUUCUUGAGUACUGGAGAGGCAGACGGAAUUCCUAGUGUAGCGGUGAAAUGCGUAGAUAUUAGGAGGAACACCAGUGGCGAAGGCGGUCUGCUGGACAGCAACUGACGCUGAGGCGCGAAAGCGUGGGGAGCAAACAGGAUUAGAUACCCGGGUAGUC